GUAACUAACAGCCAACAUGGCAAGGUAUAUAUUCUGCACUUUCAACAUUGAUUGAACUUGAAUUUCUGGAUUCUGGAUAAUUUCACAUGUUAUGGUCUAUUAAAUAAUGUCAUCUAAUAUAAUCUAAUUUCCUAGUAGCCAAUAGUAAUUACCUCGUUUCUCUGUAUGGGAAAAUUACGUUCAUAUUAACAUUGUUAACAAUCAUGUAUGGUUUGAAAUUUAGAGUU
rnacentral:misc_RNA from 1 species